rnacentral:rRNA from 1 species
UACGGGGGGAGCAAGCGUUGUCCGGAAUCAUUGGGCGUAAAGAGCGUGUAGGCGGUUCGAUAAGUCUGCUGUGAAAGUCCAAGGCUCAACCUUGGGAUGCCGGUGGAUACUGUCGAACUCGAGUCCGGAAGAGGAGUGUGGAAUUCCUGGUGUAGCGGUGAAAUGCGCAGAUAUCAGGAGGAACACCGAUGGCGAAGGCAGCACUCUGGGACGUGACUGACGCUGAGACGCGAAAGCGUGGGGAGCAAACAGG